AGUGAACGCUGGCGGUAGGCCUAACACAUGCAAGUCGAACGGCAGCACAGGAGAGCUUGCUCUCUGGGUGGCGAGUGGCGGACGGGUGAGGAAUACAUCGGAAUCUACUCUGUGGUGGGGGUUAACGUAGGGAAACUUACGCUAAUACCGCUUACGACCUACGGGUGAAAGCAGGGGACCUUCGGGCCUUGCGCGAUUGAAUGAGCCGAUGUCGGAUUAGCUAGUUGGCGGGGUAAAGGCCCAACAAGGCGACGAUCCGUAGAUGGUCUGAGGGGAUGGUCCGCCACACUGGAACUGAGACACGGUGCAGACUCCUACGGGAGGCAGCAGUGGGGAAUAUUGGACAAUGGGCGCAAGCCUGAUCCAGCCAUACCGCGUGGGUGAAGAAGGCCUUCGGGUUGUAAAGCCCUUUUGUUGGGAAAGAAAUCCAGCUGGCUAAUACCCGGUUGGGAUGACGGUACCCAAAGAAUAAGCACCGGCUAACUUCGUGCCAGCCGCCGCCGUAA
rnacentral:rRNA from 1 species